UACGUAGGGAGCAAGCGUUGUUCGGAUUUACUGGGCGUAAAGCGCGUGUAGGCGGGUCUUUAAGUCAGGGGUGAAAUGCCAAGGCUCAACCUUGGAACUGCCUUUGAUACUGGAGACCUUGAGUCCGGGAGAGGUGAGUGGAAUUGCGAGUGUAGAGGUGAAAUUCGUAGAUAUUCGCAAGAACACCAGUGGCGAAGGCGGCUCACUGGCCCGGAACUGACGCUGAGACGCGAAAGCGUGGGGAGCAAACAGG
rnacentral:rRNA from 1 species